GGACAAUAGCUCAGUGGUAGAGCAUCUGCUUUGCAGGCAGGAGUUUCUAGGUUCAAUUCCCAGAAUCUCCA